rnacentral:lncRNA from 1 species
UCAGAGCGCCGAGGAGAGUGGGAAAUCCAGCCCAGCCGGCAGACCAAUACCUCAUACCUGACGUCUCACUUGGCCGCAGACCGCCAUGGGGGUUCAGUACAGGUGGUUAGCUCAACCAAUGGAGAGCUGAAUGUUGAUGACCCCACUGGAGCUCACUCCAGUGCACCGAUCACAGCUCAUGCCGAAGUGGAGGUAGUGGAGGAAGCUAAGUGCUGCUGUUUCUUUAAGAGGAAAAGGAAGAAGACUGCUCAGCGACACAAGUGACCAGUGCCUCCCAGGAGUCCUCAAGUCCUGGGGACUCUGGCUCCAAUUGCACCUGCAGCUCCUGCCAUUUCUCAUUGGAAGGGACUCCUCUGUGGGGGAGGGUAGAGAUCCAAACCAAAAAGAAGAAAACAGAUGCCCCCAGAAGGAGCCAGUGCAGGCAGCCAGGGCCAAGUGGGCCAGUGGCAAUCCCCUCUGUCUGAGCUCUGAGCGGGUCCAGAGCUGCUGCUUCUCCACUGCUUGCCCUUGGGCUAUCUGGUUGACUCUCUUCCCAUUGUUUACAGUGAAGGUGUCAUUCACAAAAACUCAAGGACU